GUCUUCAUAAAGUUUUGUUCUUCGACUGUGGUAAUUUGAAGCGAUAAAUCCUUUGUCUUGUCUCCCAAAAUUCCCCGUGUCAAAAUGUUGUAAUUUGUGGAAAAAUUCCCAGAAAUGUCAAAUUCGACAGAGAGGUACCAAAAGCUAGGUCUCAGAGAAUCACUGACAAGAAUCUAUCAAUACCCAAUUGCAUGUAAAGAGCUCAGCUCCAUUCUCAGAGGCGCUUAUGGCAAACUCCCCAAGAAUCUCCAAGCUCUCAUCUUUCAAGAUACCCUCACCGCCUUUCGUCUCCUUCCUGAAAUGCAGACACGCAGUGCCAAUGCAGCAGCUCAACUCCUUCUCCAGAGUGCAGAAUCUGCCUUGCCAAAACAGAAGAAGAGUUUGGUUGUUACAGAGUUUAAGCAGGCAAAGGUUGCUUAUAUAAGGCGCGGUAGAGCACACAGGGAAGAAACAGUGUCUGCCCAAUUGCCUCAAGAUGUUCUUGUGCACAUAUUCAGUUUACUGGAUUUGCAAUCUUUAAUCUCUGUAACACUAGUCUGCCGGUCAUGGAGUUUGGCGGCAAAUGAUAGCCAUCUAUGGGAAUUGCAAUAUACCACAGUAUUUGGCAGAUCUAAAACUUGUUCAAGGACUAAGAUGCAGCAGAGUAGCAGAUUGGUAAAAGAGGAUUAUAUGUUUUUGAAGGAGAAUGGGGAUACAAAGACCCAUAUUCAUUGGAAAGAGUCCUUUAAAAGAGUAUAUACAGGCUCUUUUGCGAAGACAUUAAUGUCCAAUAGGGGAUAUUGUGGGCAUUGCAACACAAUUGUUUGGCUCAAGAACUUGAAAUGCUCUAAUAGACAGUGCGAAUUGAAAUAUGAAAGCCAGCAGAUCAAGCCUGUUUCACCCCACCAGGUUGCUGAAUACUUAAUGGAUGGUUGUAUAUCAGUGAUGUCAUCUUCUGAUAGUGAUAGCGAAUCAGAUGAAGGUCCCGUUUCCAGAUUAUGGGCGUAUCCUAGAAACAGAAGUAGAUAUGAGAAAAAGCGUAUCCGUUAGAAGUAUUUUUGUGGAAUCUUCUUGUAAAGGAGGACAGUCUACAGAGAUGGGCUGCUUCCUUGAUCCUUGGAGUAGACCCCCAUAUACUUGCAGUUUCUACAGGACAGAAGAACGUAACUAUCUAUUGAUCAGCUUAAGAUGGAAACCGAAGAUCUUCAGCUUAGAUUGGUCAGACGUUUGGUUGCUGAGAACAUAACCUAGGAUUUCGAGGAGAUAAAUAGAUCAAAACAUUUUUGUGCUUCGUUUAUCUCAACAUGGUAUUUGCUGGUGUCCGUACGAGGAUCACGGCAGUGAUCCGACUCAAUCUCAUCAUUUGUUGCUUCUUACCGGUUGGUGGCUUAUUUUCAGGGGUGAGCGAGUGAGCAUCAUCACGUCAGUGAGCGUCCAGUACUAGGUUGCCGCUCAACUUCUGAAUCAGAGGAACAACUGAUAAAACUCCAUCACUUUAGGUUUGGAUUAUUAUGGGUUUACUUUGUUUUGGAUUUUGAGACAAAUCAUGUUCGAGUUAUAUCAGAUCAAGUCACUAUCUUUUUGAA